rnacentral:rRNA from 1 species
AGUGAACGCUGGCGGCGUGCUUAACACACGCAAGUCGAACGAGAACGGAAUAUAGCUUGCUAUAUUUGUCAGCUAAGUGGCGCACGGGUGAGUAAUAUAUAGAUAACCUGCCCUUAAGAAAGGAAUAACAGUUGGAAACGACUGCUAAUGCCCUAUAUGCCUUUAAUACAUAAGUAUGCAAGGGAAACGCUUUAGUGCUUAAGGAUGGGUCUGUAUGGUAUCAGCUUGUUGGUGAGGAAACGGCUCACCAAGGCUAUGACGCCUAACUGGUUUGAGAGGAUGAUCAGUCACACUGGAACUGGGACACGGUCCAGACUCCUACGGGAGGCAGCAGUGGGGAAUAUUGCACAAUGGACGAAAGUCUGAUGCAGCAACGCCGCGUGGAGGAUGACACAUUUCGGUGCGUAAACUCCUUUUAUAUAGGAAGAUAAUGACGGUACUAUAUGAAUAAGCACCGGCUAACUCCGUGCCAGCCGCCGCCGUAA